CAGGUUUCACAAUGUCAUAAAUUUAAGGAGGCCAGAAAUGUCUUGCAAAUAAUUUGUUCCCCUUGGUUACGUUUGAAAAUGAAUAUGGGGACACUGAAGCAGCUUAUAGAGAUGGAGGAAAGCCCUAUGCUAUGUGGGCUGCAAGAAUGGCUCUUUCUCAGGAUAUAGGUGUGCCAUGGACAAUGUGCCAGCAAUAUGAUGCUCCUGACCCUGUGAAUGCUGGACCAUUUUAUGAAUGGGUAGGAGCAGGACUCACCAGUGUCAAGAUUGAGGGUUUUACAAGUGGAACCAUCGACUUAUCUCAAAGUUCUUGGGUCUACAAGGUUCGAUCCACAUUAACUUGACAUGGCAGAGAUAUGACAAAGUGCAACAUUUUGGACUUAAAAAUGAAGUUCCAGAUGCGGGUCCAGCCCACUGUCCUCCAGUGUCCAGUUAACAUAGGUUUUUUAUAAUCUGGGUACUAACCUAGCUUCUGCUCAUUCAUGGGAAGAAUCAUGGUCACUGCUUUGGUAUAUGUGUGUAAUUUUUUCUGCAUGCAUGAUUAACAACUUAGCAAACGGGGUUGAAUUGUGAAACAUGAUUUAUGUAGCCUACCCCAUUUAGUUUGGUGAAGGCAUAGUUCUGUUGAGCAUGAUUCAACGACAACAACUUAACACAGCAUGGUAUCUUGUUUUGUAUUUGUA